rnacentral:rRNA from 1 species
CACGUAGGGUGCGAGCGUUGUCCGGAAUUAUUGGGCGUAAAGAGCUCGUAGGUGGCGGGUCGACGUCGGGUGUGAAAGCCCGGGGCUUAACCCCGGGUCUGCAUUCGAUACGGGUCUGCUGGGGUCCGGCAGGGGAGACUGGAAUUCCUGGUGUAGCGGUGAAAUGCGCAGAUAUCAGGAGGAACACCGGUGGCGAAGGCGGGUCUCUGGGCCGGACUGAUCGACGUGAGGAGCGAAAGCGUGGGGAGCGAACAGG